UGGGGAAUAUUGCGCAAUGGGCGGAAGCCUGACGCAGCGACGCCGCGUGGGGGAUGACGGCCUUCGGGUUGUAAACCUCUUUCAGCAGGGACGAAGCUAACGUGACGGUACCUGCAGAAGAAGCGCCGGCUAACUACGUGCCAGCAGCCGCGGUAAUACGUAGGGCGCAAGCGUUGUCCGGAAUUAUUGGGCGUAAAGAGCUCGUAGGCGGUUUGUCGCGUCUGUCGUGAAAGCCCACGGCUUAACGUGGGUCUGCGGUGGAUACGGGCAGACUAGAGGCAGGUAGGGGAGAAUGGAAUUCCCGGUGUAGCGGUGAAAUGCGCAGAUAUCGGGAGGAACACCGGUGGCGAAGGCGGUUCUCUGGGCCUGUACUGACGCUGAGGAGCGAAAGCGUGGGGAGCGAACAGGAUUAGAUACCCUGGUAGU
rnacentral:rRNA from 1 species